rnacentral:rRNA from 1 species
AUUGAACGCUGGCGGUAGGCCUAACACAUGCAAGUCGAACGGCAGCACAGUAAGAGCUCGCUCUUACGGGUGGCGAGUGGCGGACGGUUGAGGAAUACAUCGGAAUCUACUUUUUCGUGGGGGAUAACGUAGGGAAACUUACGGUAAUACCGCAUACGACCUACGGGUGAAAGCAUCGGAUCUUCGGACCUUGCGCGAUUGAAUGAGCCGAUGUCGGAUUAGCUAGUUGGCGGGGCAAAGGCCCACCAAGGCGACGCUCCGUAGCUGGUCUGAGAGGAUGAACAGCCACACUGGAACUGAGAAACGGUCCAGACUCCUACGGGAAGCAGCAGUGGGGAAUAUUGGACAAUGGGCGCAAGCCUGAUCCAGCCAUACCGCGUGGGUGAAGAAGGCCUUCGGGUUGUAAAGCCCUUUUGGUGGGAAAGAAAAGCAGCAGGUUAAUACCCCGCUGUUCUGACGGUACCCAAAGAAUAAGCACCGGCUAACUUCGUG